rnacentral:RNase_P_RNA from 1 species
UGAGUAAAUCGGAUGGUCGCAUGCAUAUAUGUGCAUGAGGAAAGUCCGGGCUCCAUAGGGCAGGAUGCCGGGUAACACCCGGUGAAGGCGACUUCAAGGAAAGUGCAACAGAAAUAUACCGCCAUUUUUAUGGUAAGGGUGGAAAGGUGAGGUAAGAGCUCACCAGCGAUUAGGCGACUAAUCGGCUAUGUAAACCCCAUCUGGAGCAAGAUCAAAUAGGGAAGCUAAUUAGGUGGCCCGCCUAGCUUCCGGGUAAGAUCGCUAGAGUCUGCUGGCAACAGCAGAUCGAGAUAGAUGACCAUCUAAGACAGAACCCGGCUUACAGAUUUACUCAUUUU